UCUGUCCUUUUUAUUCGCAAAAAAUCGCUAUAAAUUCAAGAGAGGCGUAAAAUUCUCGUUCAUUCUUCGAUCUGAUAACCAAGAAGAACAGAUUCUGUCCAUUUUUUUUCAUCUUUUUGGGAUCGAAUUUGUUCUUCGAUCGGUCCUUGGACUCAUCUGCAUCUUGCGCUUGCUGGGAAUCCCUUUCUGCGUCACGAAAUGUUUGAAUUUUUUUUUUCAUGAUUUUCUUGAACUACUGAAGGAACGGUGGAUAUGGCUAGGAUUUGAGGGUUUGAGAUGGUGAUAAGUGACAACGAGAGAGAGCACGCUGGUUGGCGUUCAUGAAGUUUGGGCCAUGACUGUGCACCGGCGUGCUCUAUCUCGCUGUCAUUCUGUCUCAUCCGCCAUCAACUAGCCUGGCUCGCCUUCCUUACUUCCUUUUGUCUUUUCAUGGUUUCUUAGAGGCUUGCUCUUGCUGGAACUCCUUGCUGACAAAAGAUUGGGAGAUUCAGUUGUAUUCAGACAGUUAUUCCAUUUGAAGGUCAACUCUCCUACUACAAUAAAAUCAUGUAGCUAAGUUCCGUUUGUUGAUUUA